GUUACCUGUGAAACGAAUCUAAGUUCCCCCUUAAUCCUCCCUACCGGACAUCCUGAACCCUAAUGAGAUGAUUAAGAGCUAUUUAAUGGAGGGACAGCUCCAUUAAAAAAGGACACAACCUCGACUAGCGGAUAAUUCUUACUACUGAUCCUACCGUGGGCCCUAAAGCAGCCAUCAAAAAAGAGUGCGUCAAAGCUCCACCACCUAAAAAUACCAAAAUAAGAUGAUUCCCUUAUCACAAACAGGUCAACCUAUGAAUAUAGGAGAAUUAAUGCUAAAAUAAGUAACUCAGGGCCACACCCCUCUAACGGCGCAAGCUUACAUAGAAACAUUAUUAACAGACCUAGACAGAUACAAAAACCCCUACAAGACCACGUAUUAACUAACCCUGUUAACCCGACUCAGGAGCGCCUAUAAGAGCGAUUAAAAUCUGUGAAAGGAACUCGGCAAAUUAAUAAGGCCCGACUGUUUACCAAAAACAUAGCCUUCAGCAAAUUAAACAAGUAUUGAAGGUGAUGCCUGCCCGGUGACUUAGGUUUAACGGCCGCGGUAUCCUA
rnacentral:rRNA from 1 species